GAAAUGCGAUAAGUAGUGUGAAUUACAGAAUUCAGUGAAUCAUCGAAUCUUUGAACGCACAUUGCGCCCCUUGGUAUUCCAUGGGGCAUGCCUGUUCGAGCGUCAUCUACACCCUCAAGCUCUGCUUGGUGUUGGGCGUCUGUCCCGCCCCCGCGCGUGGACUCGCCCCAAAUCCAUUGGCAGCGUUCCUUGCCCCCUCUCGCGCAGCACAUUGCGCUUCUCGAGGGCGGCUCCGGGACGCGAUCCAGCAAGAUGACCACCGUCUUUGACCUCGGAUCAGGUAGGGAUACCCGCUGAACUUAAGC
rnacentral:misc_RNA from 1 species